rnacentral:lncRNA from 1 species
UUUUUUUUUUUUUUUUUUUUUCAGAGUAUUUUCUUUCUUGUCCAGAUUAGCUAAAUUGGAUUGUUCUAUGCUAAAUUCACUUAAUCACUACUCUAUUAUUUUUGAAUUUUUUAGUUCUGUUUUUUUCACUUGGUUCUUUUUUUAAAAAAACUUCUACUACCUUUCUGAGACUUCUACUUUUUUACUUUUUUCAAGAAGCUUUAUAAUUACUUGCUAAAGCAUUUUUACCAUGACUGUUUUUAACUUCUUCAGAUAACCACAACAUUUGGUUAAUCUUGAGGUUGGCUUGGUUAACUGUCUUUUCUCAUCCUGCUUAUGAUUUUCCUUCUAAUUGUGAUUUUUCCGGUUCUUGAUAGAUGGGUGAUGUUUUAGUUUAUCCUGCAUUUUUUUUUCCUUUUUAAGUUAGAGGAAUCUGAAUCUAUUCAAAUGUUUUAUUUUAGCAGGCAUGUGCCCUGUUUAGGUUUAAUUUGAAUGUCCUGUCCUACUUUUGUAGGCCAUGUUUUCGCAGGCAGUCUUGCUAUCAGAGCUGAGGGGAUGCUGUUUUGAUCACUUAGUUUAUCUGAUGUUGCUGGGCCUCCAACUGGUGCUGACUGGUACUUCCUGAGAUGGCGAAGGUUUUUCUGUACUCUGAGAUGCCGUGUAUCUCUAUGUAAGGGGAGGAGACUCUGGACCACAGGAAUGAAGAGAACAUCUUAGGUCAGGCAGCUCAAUCAUAUGCGAUAACCUGGGUCAACCAGCCAGUAGCCUCAUGAAGUAUGGGAGGGAAUUCUCCAGUGUCAGCAUUCAAAGACAUCAUGAGUUUUUACUUCUCAUUUUCUUUUAAGUGAAAUAAUCGCAUGGAAAUUAAAGAAUAAAUAUAUGAAAUAUAUGAAACUUAUAUGAAAUAUAAGAAUGUGAGAAGGCCUACAGCGUGGGGAUCCCCAGGCUAUUUGAACAAUGAAUGUCUGUGUUACACAUCUUUGCUCACUUUUUCUCUAUUUUUGUAGUUCAUUGUGGAACCAGCACAGAUUUUCAUACGAAAGUUAUUUCUUUUUAACCUCAAAAAGUGACAGAAUGGAGUGUAUCAUGAAAAAGUCUGACAUCAAAACCUCAAAAUGUGAUAUUGAUUGGGUGAGAUAGAAUUCCAUGGAAUUUCAUUGCCAAACCAGUGAAGUGCUAAUUUUGACAUUUGUACCAGCUAACGUAGCUGUGAAGAAACACACCAAUACACUUCUAAGGACAGCAUAGACCAAGAUCUAGGUUUCAUAUGGAUGAAUUUAUUCUUCCCUUUGAGGCAAGACAAGAAGGAAAGAAAGUAUUGGGAAUAAUGCUGCCCUCCCAUCCUCAAGGGCCAGUGGGAACUCUAAUAUUGGUAAGCCUUUUGUCCUGAAAAUACCAGCAUUUCCUCUUAGGGAAUCAUAACACUCUGCUAACCGUGAGACUCUGGCUAUGCUAGUCCGCCAUGGGCUGGUCAUUGACUGUGAUCCUGGUCUCCAUGAUUGAAUAGUGUGGGUCAGUGUGUCCCAGAGUGACAGAUGUGCUCAGUGUCUGCCACAUAUCUCAGACUCAAGGUCCCUUUUAUAAAUGUGCCUGGAUCGAUGAUGACUAUAAAAAAAAUGGAUCUCAUCGGAAUCUGAACAAAAUGAGUGACCAAAUCAUUUCUGUGCCACUUCUGUGAGCUGAGGUCCAGCACUGGGACCAUGCCAGGCAAACAUGAGGAGGGAGUUUACAGGGACUAGGGUAUUGGAAAACUAACCUACCCAUAUAUAUUAGAGCAAAUGAAUUGUUCUCAGUUCUGUAAAUAUCCAGCUGUGGUUUGACAUAGCAACUCUCUUUGUAUUUGCUUGGCAGCAUUUAUAGAAACAGCUGGUAGACCCUGGGGAACCAGGGCAUAGUGAGAUUCAUGGGACGUUAUUUCACCUACUCUUGAGCCAUUCACACAUUUGAGCUCGCAGAAUUAUCUGGUCAAUGAGCAGUCUCUUGAGGGUAAUGAGAUGGUCAACAUCCAAAUCCAAAGAUACUAAUGAGAUUUUACUUUUUUUUUUGAGAUGGAGUCUCAUUCUGUUGCCCAGGCUGGAGUGCAGUGGCAUAAUCUCGGCUCACUGCAACCUCCACCUCCUGGGUUCAAGAGAUUCUCCCGCCCCAGCAUCCUGAGUAGCUGGGAUUACAGGCGCCCGCCACCACCCCUGGCUAAUUUUUGUGUUUGUAGUAGAGAUGGAGUUUCACCAUAUUGGCCAAGCUGGUCUCGAACUCCCAACCUCAGGUGAUCCAGCCACUGCAGCCUCUCAAAGUGUUGGGAUUACAGGCAUGAGCCGCCGUGCCCGGCCUUACUUUUUAUUUUCAAUUAAGUGAAACAAUUACAUGGAAAUUGAAAAAAAAAAAAGAUUGGGUGAGAUACAAUUCCAUGGAAUUUUACCACUGAACCAGUGGAGGGCUAAUUUUGUCAUUUGUACCAGUUAACUAACUUGGGAGGAAACAGAACAACACACUCCUGAGAUUGGUUUUCACAGAAUUCCAUGGACUUUAACUGCUGAACCAAUGAUGCACUGAUUUUGUCACUUGUACCAGCUAACGCAUCUGGGAGGCAACAAAACAAUACUCUCCUGAGGUUAAUGUGGACCAAAAACUAGAUUUCAUAUAAAAGAGUUUAUUCCUUCUACUUGAGGUGUGACAUGAAGGAAAGUAAUGGAAAUAAUUCUGCCCUCCCAUUCUCAAGGGCCAGGGGGAAUUCAAAUAUUGAACGGAAGUGAUUUUGGAAUUGCAUGGAAUUCUCACUGCCAUCCCAAAGAAAUGCUGAUCUUGUCACUCUUACCUGUUUCAUUCCCUGGGGGCAGAACAAAAGGACGCACUCCAAAGAUCGGCAUGAACCAAGAACUGGGUUUCAUAUAAAAUAUUUUAUUCUGUCCUCUUGAGAUGUGACAUGAGAAAAGUAUUGAGAAUACUUCUAUCACCUCAUCUUCAAGAAUCCGUAGGAAUUCUCCCAUGGUGGACUUUACGGUUAACCUGAACAGGUCUUGGAAAAAGGACUUUAAACAUUCUCCUGUUCUGUGGAAUAAGUAUACUUUUUUCUGGACAUACACCUUGUCAGUGAGUUCCAUGUGAUACUAGAGUUGCAUAGAUUUUUAACCUUUACGCCAAUGAAGAUCUGAGGCAAACAUUGCCCCUUUUUUAGAAGUUUGCAUUUGUCACUGAUAACUGUAAUAAUUGAUCUUGUUGAAAAGCCUGGGAAAUGAAGAUCUGAUAUGUCACUUUUACCGGCUUCCUCAACUGAAAAAGAAUACAAUGAAACACGCUGAGAAUUUUUGUGCUUUCUCAGUCUUGCUGAUGAUCUUUCUAUGGGCCUGAAGCGUGGAGAGUGCCAGAGAGGCUGAUCCUCAGCAGUGUGGCAGAGGAAAGUUGGGUGCGACUAAGGGGUAUGCGGUGCCCACAUGCCACUGGGUCCUCAGCAGUACCACCUGAUUGGAAGUGAUAUUGGUGGAAGACAACAUUUUGCCGCUUGGAAUUCUCACCUCCACACCAAAGAAGUACUGUUUUUGUCAUUUGCACCAGCUUCUUUCUCCAGGAAAGAUCAAAACGAUGCACUGCAAGUGUGAUUGGUCCAGAUAGCUGCCUUAUCCAACUGCCUCCUUUGGACCACUUCAUCAUGGGACAGCUUGAUGCAAUCUACUUGACAAGACCCUGGAACCCCACACCCCUCAUGGAACCAGUGUCCACCUCCCAGUCACAGUGUGACCCCAGGGAACUCUUGCCUGCUUGCUUUAAACCCACCACUUAAAAGUCUCCACAGAAAACCUGUUUGAAUAGUACCCUUGACCCAAUAAGGGCAUUGGCCCCUGGGUGUCUCUCUCUCUCUCUCUCUCUCUCUCUCCCUCUCUCUCCCUCUCUCUCUCUCGCUCCCUGACCUCUGCGUGUGGACUCCAGGCAUGCCAUAUACCCCUCAGGACCUGAAGCAAAAGAAUGAAUUAAAGAAAACUCCAGAGAAUGAGCUGACAACCUACUCCCUGGUCAGUGGCUCUCCAUGCCUACCUGUGGUCUCUUGGACACCCUUGCAGAAGAUGACUUCCUGGGAACUCUUCUGGGAGUGAAUGUUAUCAGCAAAUUCCCAAAACAACACCCCUUAGACAAAAAGCCUCCUCACCUAUGCAUUGCCUAGACCACCCACUAAAGGUGAUGGCCACAAAGAGGUGGAUUUGUUGAGUUGGUGCCAUUCCUUCUACUGCCAGCUUCACCAAAACAAUGACACAGUCUUCCUUCCGCAUGGAGACUCUUCUCUUUCCUGUGUUGCAGUGGAUGCCUCCUGCAGAUAAGAAAUGCUUAACUGAGAAAUGCUCAUGUUGGGAUAUCAUCGAUGAGACUUUAAUUUGGGCAUGGUGACUGUUUCCCUUGCUGCCACUUGACUCAAUCCCAGGAGCCUCAGUAGAGGAUAUAAUAUUACACAAGAUGCUCAAAAUGGUGGAAUUGCUCAGUGCUCCCAUAAAUAUACAUUUAUAAUUUUCAUUUGCCACAUGGUAAACUGAAAAAUACAGACUAUAUUAAAAAGAAACUGCAUGAUUUUUUUUCAAAAAUUCAAAGCAUAUUUAAAUAAUAUAUAAAUUAAAUGCCCUCCUCUCUUCCAAUUCUGUCCCUAUAGUUUUCCUCUAUUAAGUGAACUACAUGCAUUCUUUUAGUGGAUAGAUGCACACAAACACACAAGCCAUUAUGGGGAAGGAUCCACGUGUGUGGCCAUAUUGUAACACAUUUUUCUGCAAAUCACCUCUUUCAUUUAACAGCCCUUAUUCAAUGGCCUUUUUCUUUUUCAGUAGUACAUACACAUCUGUGUCAUUUGUUGAAUGACGACAUGAAUGUUUUGUAGAUAAAAUAUAAUUAAAUGUUUUAAGCAUUUCUCACUCAUAGAUAUUUAUGUUAGCACCAAAUUUCUGUGCAAUGAACCUCCCUAUAUAUCAGUAAUUUUGCAUUUGUCUAUAAUAUCAUAAUAAAUUACUUAUCAGUUGAAUUACUGGGAUUAAGUAUGUGCACACUUUAUAUUUAUAUUUUGAAAAUUAUUGCAAGAUUGCCUUCAAAAAUGUGGUUAACAACUUUAUCUUCAAAUGGCAAUGAAUGAGAUUGCCAGCUUUCCUACAGCCUCACAGACAAUGGAUUUUAUAAAUAUUUAACAUUUUUGCCAAUGUGAUCACCCAAACUAUUGUCUUAAAUUGUAUCUCUUUUGUUUUUGAGUUUGGUCAUUUUUUCAUGUUUAUUAGCCAUCUGUAUUUUUUAAUUUCUUCUUUAUGUCCAAUUUUGUGGGUGGGAGGAGGAUUUAGUCUCUUCCUGAUUUCGAAGAGCUCAUUUACUAUUUCGGGAAAUAAGAUUUGGAUUGUCAACCAUUAUAGCUAUUUUUUACACACUUUUCAACUUUGUUUUUGUUAUAAGAAUGUGUAUGAUUGUUACAUGUCCAAGUAUAACCAUGUUCGCUUUUAUGGCUUCUGAGUUUCAUGUCAUUUUUGGAAAGAUAUAUAUAUUGAGUCCAUAAAACCCUUCACCUAUGUUAAAUUCUAAUUCUUUUGUGUUUUUUUAAUUCAAAUUCUUAAAUCAUGAGAAAUUUUUUUGUUUUGAAAUCUUAAAGUUGCCAAGUUACUUGCCAUUACUUGCGAUUAUUUGCCAAUAAUUGCCCAUUUAUCUGUACCGCCAUCUUGCGCAUAUGCUGUACUCUCAUCUGUGACUGGCUCCAUUUUUGUUCUGUGGAUUUGUGUGUCUCUUCUUCUGCCUCCUGUCUCGUGUCUGCUCGUUGGAAGAAAUUACAGUUUAGACUGCAAUUUCAUCAACUUUAAUAAAUCAAUUGAGGGGAGAAUUGGUUUUUAAAAAUAUUAAGUAAGUCUUCGUAUCCAAGGACAAGGUAUGUCUUUUCUUAUUCAAUAAUUUUAAUUACUGUUAAUAUUUUCACUGUGGUGAUGGGAGUUUUUCUUUUAAUUUAUUUUCUUGUUCAUUUUUUGUAUCUAAAGUUUUUGUUUUGUUUUGUUUUGGGGGUAAGUUGUCACCUUACUGUUUCUUGUUGCUUUUCAGAUUUUUUCAAAGUAUAGACUAAAUCCUUCACAAAUAUUUAAAGUUUUUAUUUUCCCCCUUCAUAUUGAUCCUGAUUUUAGUUAUGUUGACAAAGUCCACAGACUGUUACUAUCAGAACACUUGAACAGUUAUGGAAAUAUUACCUACCCUUGAUUUAAUCAGAGUUUAAUGGUAUGCUUCUUUGGUUUGACUGGCACAUUGUCGCUGGUCAUUUCCUCCCAAAGACCACCAGAAAGAGCUAUGAUCAAGCAAAGCUGAGUUUGUUAAACUUACCUGCAGCAAGGGAAAACACCACCUUGAUAGGGUUUAAUAAUGUUUCAAAAUCAAGAAAUGAGGCUUUGGGGUCUGGGCAGGGAACUAAUUAGAAAUGGGCAAAAUUUGUCAUGCAAUACCUUGUGGGAAAGUGAGAUGAGGUUCUUAAUGUGAGUAUUGAUGGUGAAAUCAUUUUCUAGGUGAGCUGUUUGCCUAUAUAAAGAUGUUAUCAAUGACAGAAGAACUAUUUGCCUAGAUAAACAAACUGAAUUUAUUUAUUGGUUUACAGUUUUAUCUUGCUGGGCAGGACUCUGCUGGGGGUGGUAUCAGGUCUUAUUCCCAAUAGGUAAGUUAUUUGGAUAUGGGUGGUCUUAAUCAUCAAUGUGUAAAAUGCUGAUUUUAAGUGCGAAAUACUUUGUCUACCAUGUUAGGAAAGUCUGCCACCUUUUAUCUUUUUUAAGGAAUUUUAAUCAAAACCAGGUGGUAGAUAUAAUCAAAUUGUUUUGCAGAAUCAAUUUUCCUGUUCUCUUUAAAGACUUUUAUCACUGUGAAUUAAUUUACUAUUAUUGCAACUUCCUUUAAUUCCUUGAAUGAACAGACCCUACUGGUUUUAAAAAUGUUUUAUUCUUUUAAUUUACUACUUAAUUGUGGGUAUUUUAAUUUGAUUUGGAAUUUUUACAAGUAUACAACUAAGUGAAAUUGAUCUGUGAUUUUUCUUUUUUGUGCUAUUUUUGUCAUGUUUUGAUAUCAGAUAUUCUGGUUGUGUUAAAAUAAUUUUGAGGAUUUUCUUCUUAUACUGUGUUCUAGAGUGGGUAAAAAAGCCCUAGUCUCACUAUCAGUGUUUAAGUGAACACAUCAGUGACAUCAUCUGGACUCUCCUUUGUUUUUGCUGGUUUGGAGUUAGGACAUCUAGAAGUUUUUUUCUUUUUUUCCUUUUUUUGUAUGGUUAUUGCUUGUUCUUUGUUUUGUGUCAAAUUUAACCUGUUUUCUCUUAGCAAAUCACAGCUCAUGCAGAUUUUCAAACACAUUAGCCUUGUUAUACAAAGUGUUCUUUCAUCAUUCUAUUAAAUUUCCAUUUUCAUUCCAGUUAUAGUUAUUUCUGCUGUGCCUUUGUUAAUGAAUAAGUUUAAACAGUGGAUGUUUAGCAUCACUAGCCUUCCCCUUCCAUCUCCCUUAAUCAGGACCUUGGUAUAAUUUAUCAGGUAUUUUUUAAGGUUCUAAUUUACUUAUAUAUAUUGUUUCUGUAUUCUUUUGUUUCUUUUCUUAAUAAAUUCUUAAA